CCUACGGGAGGCAGCAGUGCGGAAUAUUGGUCAAUGGACGAGAGUCUGAACCAGCCAAGUAGCGUGAAGGAUGACUGCCCUAUGGGUUGUAAACUUCUUUUAUAUGGGAAUAAAAUGUUCCACGUGUGGGAUUUUGUAUGUACCAUAUGAAUAAGGAUCGGCUAACACCGUGCCAGCAGCCGCGGUAAUACGGAGGAUCCGAGCGUUAUCCGGAUUUAUUGGGUUUAAAGGGAGCGUAGGUGGAUGUUUAAGUCAGUUGUGAAAGUUUGCGGCUCAACAGUAAAAUUGCAGUUGAAACUGGCAGUCUUGAGUACAGUAGAGGUGGGCGGAAUUCGUGGUGUAGCGGUGAAAUGCUGAGAUAUCACGAAGAACUCCGAUUGCGAAGGCAGUUCACUGGACUGCAACUGACACUGAGGCUCGAAAGUGUGGGUAUCAAACAGGAUUAGAUACCCGGGUAGUC
rnacentral:rRNA from 1 species